UGUAAUCUUGGUGUUUGUAGCUUCCUCAGGUGAACUAUGACCUUUAUAGGCUGAGCGACUGCUGCCUCAGCUUGGUUCCUAUUUUGAGUGUUAAUGGCUUUGGCUGGAGAGUCUUGGCAAGGACUUAUUUGGUGAUGUUACGGCAGCAUUUGCCUGAACAUAUUCUAUAAAGAGAAAUACAAUGUAAAUUCCAGGAUUUAAAUGUGUGUUUUUAAAAAUAGGGAUUUAAAAGUUUAGCAUCAGUAUAAUUUGACCCAUUAGACCAGAUAUAAUAGCUUUAACAAAGUAUGUUGAUGUGUUUAUGUGUGAAAAAUUCACUGACUAUAAAAAGACCCUUACGUUUUCAUUAGUUCUAAUAACUUCUGUGCCAAUUAAUGGAAUACCACCACUGUUGCAUAUGAUUGAAUGCUUAAUUAUAGUCAUAUCAUUUAGGUACCUAAUCUCUGGGAGAAGGAUUUUCCCUCGUAUCUCACAAGAAGCAUCAUAAAAUAUCAUAUAGAUUAUAAGACAGGUUCUUUUAGAAAGGUUUUUAAAAUUCCUUCUGCUAAUGCAUCCUUAUACUAUAAAAUGGGGACUUAAUGAAAUCUUCAAUAGUCAUCAUUUCAUGAAUCACCCUUUGGAUAUGAAAUUCUAAACCAAACUCUUGUAGAAAUUGGCUUUUUCACUUUCUUUAAAGGACUUUUUAAGUACAGUAAAAGAAAUUAGAGAUUUUUAUUUGGUCUAAAUUCCGUCCAGAUGACUGAACAACUAAGACUUUAAUUCAUAUUAAGUCUGUGAAAGGGAGCUCACUCUCUGACAUAUUUUAAUCUGUAUAUUCAGUGAGUGUGGAAAAAUGUGUUGCCUUUUUACAUAGCCUCAUUUGAAGGAGACCGACUUACUCUACAAAUUGCCAUGAAGAGCAAGUUCUUGAUUAGGUAAGAAAAUACCCUUUAGUUAAGUACCUGUAAAGUUUGGAAGUUCACAAAACCACCUUCACUUCUGACACUCAUUGCAAGUUCAGGGUUUCCCAAGGCCAUCCUAAGGUUCUAUAAUUAUCUAGAAGGACUUUAAAAGCUCACUGAAAACUGUUAUACUCACAGUUAUGACUUAUUAUGGCAAAAGAUACAGAUUAAAGUAGGCUAAGGAAAGACACUUGUGCAACCCAGAAAGUUCCGAGUGCAACGCUUCUAGUUGUCUUCUCCCAGUGGAGUCAUAGGCAGUGCUGAUUUUUCCCAGUAACAGUAUGUAUCAUCAUGCAUGGAGUAUUACCGACCAAGGUAGCUCACCUGAGCCUUGGGUCUAGAGUUUUUAUUGGGUCUUGGUCAUAUAGACACCACUGACUGCCUGUGAGGUUACCCUUUAGUCUCCAGCUCCUCCAGAGGUUGAGCUAUUAACUAUCACUGCAUGGCCCAAAGAGCCCCCCAUAAAUCACAUUGUUAGACUGUCUGGUGUAAAUACAGGACACUCUAAUUCGUCAGGAAGUUACAAGGGCUUAGAAAUCACCUCCAGGAGCCAAGGGCAAAGGCAUGGCCUCUCUUUGGGUAAAGUUAAUUCUUGACUACACAGAACCAAGUUAUAAGGCAUUUUGCCUUAUUUUGCUUAAACUUUAAAAAUAUCUGAAUACAGGAGCUGCUGCCACCAUCACUGCAGCAAUGGCAGGCACUGCCACCGCUGCCUGAGGAGUGGGCUUGGGAAGGAAGUGGUCAUCUCUCUCGGUGCUUUUUCGGAAGCAUCCUUGUCGCCUGCAGCCCUCCCACAGGAAUGACAGUGGACAAAAGUGAGCUGGUACAGAAAGCCAACUCACUGAGCAGGCUGAGUGCUGUGAUGAUAUGGCUGUAGCCAUGAAGGCAGUCAGGGAACAGAGGCAUGAAUUCUCCAACGAAGAGAGAAUUGCCUACAAGAAUGUGGUAGGUGCCUGCUGCUCUUCCUGGCGUGUCACUCCAGCAUUGAGCAGAAAACAGAGGAAAGAGAAGAAGCCGCAGGUGGGCAGAGAGUACCAUGAGAAGAUGGAAGCAGAACUGCAGGACAUCUGCAAUGACGUUCUGGAGCUGUUGGACAAAUAUCUUACUCCCAAUUCUAUACAACCAGAGAGAAAGGUGUUCUACUUGAAAAUGAAAGGAGAUUAUUUUAGGUAUCUUUCUGAAGUGGCAUCUGGAGACAACGAACAAACCACUAUGUUGAACUUCCAGCAGGCUUAUCAGGAACCAUUUGAAAUUAGUAAGAAAGAAGAAAUGCAGCCUACAUAUCCAAUUUGACUUGGUCUGGCACUUAAUUUCUCAGUCUUUUACUAUGAGAUUCUAAACUCUACUGAAAAGGCCUGCAGCCUGGCAAAAACAGCAUUUGAUGAAGCAAUUGCUGAAUUGGAUACACUGAAUGAAGAGUCUUAAAAAGACAGCACUCUGAUCAUGCAGUUACUUAGAGACAGUCUCACUCUGUAGACAUCAGAAAACCAGGGAGAUGAAGGAGAUGCUAGGGAGGGAGAUAACUAAUGUCUCUUGUGCUUUAUGAUCUGUUCAGCGUCACUCUGUACCCUCCAUAGAUAUCCCUUGUGUGAUAAAACAUAAAGAAUCGUACGUUGACUU